ACUGAAGAACUGAAAGUAAUGGGGAAUACAGAAAUAACUCAAGAAACGUGAAAGCAAAGGGCCUAGCCGACAGUGCUUAAAAACUGGUCCUUUUACCAUUUGUUCUUCAAGUUACACAAAGAAAUCCAACCAUAGCCUUUUAUAAACUUUCUUUUCUUUUUAAAUCAACUUUUUUGAGGUAUGAUUUAUAAAC